ACGAGCACGAGUUCAUUUCCUUGCCCGGAAGGGUUGGGUAAUCUUGUUAAACUCUGUCGUGCUGGGGAUAGAGCAUUGCAAUUAUUGCUCUUCAACGAGGAAUGCCUAGUAAGCGUACGUCAUCAGCGUGCGUUGAUUACGU
rnacentral:rRNA from 1 species